AAUCAACGCUGGCGGCGUGCCUCAGACAUGCAAGUCGAACGAUUAAAGCUCUCUUCGGAGAGUGCAUAGAGUGGCGCACGGGUGAGUAACACGUAAGUAAUCUACCUUCGAGUGGGGAAUAACAUCGGGAAACCGAUGCUAAUACCGCAUAAUGCAGCGGCAUCGCAAGAUGACAGUUGUUAAAGGAGCAAUUCGCUUGAAGAGGAGCUUGCGGCAGAUUAGCUAGUUGGUAAGGUAACGGCUUACCAAGGCUACGAUCUGUAUCCGGUCUAAGAGGACGGUCGGACACACUGACACUGAAUAACGGGUCAGACUCCUACGGGAGGCAGCAGUCGGGAAUUUUGGGCAAUGGGCGAAAGCCUGACCCAGCAACGCCGCGUGAAGGAUGAAGUAUUUCGGUAUGUAAACUUCGAAAGAAUAGGAAGAAU
rnacentral:rRNA from 1 species